CCGAAAUUUUUAGCGGUGAAUGCGCUGGUGGAGUUCAGUAGAUUUGUGACGAACUCGUGAUUAACCAGCCUAUGGGAAAGGGCGCGGUUCCGGUCGACGCUGAUUUCUGCGUCAUAAAGAUCGACGUACACCUUUCCCAGGCAUUCGCGAAGGCAGGAAGUCAUCUCCACUAUUACCGGUUGACGUGCGUGCCAAGCUGCUAUAACAUCAACCACUGGAUCAGUUGGGAUGGGAAUUCAGGAUACCGCAUCGUACCAGACAACUCUCCUGUGGGAUCCAAUGAAUGGAGGUAGUCCGG
rnacentral:misc_RNA from 1 species